AAAGGCUGCGGUAUUUUGACCGUACAAAGGUAGCAUAAUCAUUAGUUUUUUAAUUGAAAGCUUGUAUGAAUGGUUUAACGAAAUAUUAGCUGUUUCAUGGAAAUUUAUAUAGAAAUUAAUUUUUUAGUCAAAAAGCUGAAAUAAAAUUAAAAGACGAGAAGACCCUAUAGAGUUUUAUAUUAAAGUUUUUAUAUUUUAUUUAUAAUAAUUUAAAUUUUAUUAAUUUUUAUAUUUUGUUGGGGUGACAAUAAAAUUUUAAUACCUUUUAUUAUUUUUUAAACAAUGAUUUUUGGGAAAUUGAUCCAUUUUUAGUGAUUAUAAGAUUAAAUUACCUUAGGGAUAACAGCG
rnacentral:rRNA from 1 species